rnacentral:lncRNA from 1 species
UGAAAUUCUGAAGAUAAAGACAAACUCCUACUGUUACAUUCAUGCCACGUCCUGAGCCAAGUGAAAAGGUCUAGGCUUCCCCAUUGCAAACAAACACUUUCUUUUCCAGCAGCAUGCCUCUCAGAGAAACAGGAGAGAAUAAAGAAAACCAAAGCCACUGACGACCAGAAGAAAAUGACUAGAAAAACAGCUUCCUGUCUCACUAAACCUUGAUAUUCAACGGGUGUUUGAUUCUUCAGAGCAGGCAGUGAGAGGAGGAUGGCACAACUCCAGCACAUAAUAUCCCAGGAAGAGGAAAGGCUGCAGAGGCACAGGCGAAGAAAGAGCAGUGGACACCUCUUCCUACAGGCUCCUGAGCACAAGCAGCACCACUGAGCAAGGA